AUUCAAAUAGCUUAUUUAGAGCGCAGCCUUGAAGAUGCUGAGGAGAUAAAUCUAUCUUUGGAUA
rnacentral:tRNA from 1 species